AAAGGUCUUGUGUUUAUUUCUUGAACAGCAGACAAAAUAUUCAUGAAUUCAGCUCAGGAUGGAAAGUUUGGGAUAUUCCCAGUGACCCACUGGGAAUAUCCCAAACUUUCCAUCCUGAGCUGAAUUCAUGAAUAUUUUGUCUGCUGUUCAAGAAAUAAACACAAGACCUUUUUAAUCGCAUAACUGUGAAGGUGCCUUUUUUCGCUAUUUGAGUACUACCAGAGUAAUCACUGGAGAGCACACACGGCAGCGAUUU